rnacentral:rRNA from 1 species
ACGGGAGGCAGCAGUGGGGAAUAUUGGGCAAUGGGGGAAACCCUGACCCAGCAACGCCGCGUGAAGGAAGAAGGCUUUCGGGUUGUAAACUUCUUUUACCAGGGACGAAGAACGUGACGGUACCUGGAGAAAAAGCCGCGGCUAACUACGUGCCAGCAGCCGCGGUAAUACGUAGGUGGCAAGCGUUGUCCAGAUUUAUUGGGUUUAAAGGGUGCGCAGGCGGCCCGUUAAGUCAGCGGUGAAAUGUCGGGGCUCAACCCGGGCACUGCCGUUGAAACUGGGGGGCUUGAGUACGGAUGAGGUCGGCGGAAUGUGACGUGUAGCGGUGAAAUGCAUAGAUAUGUCACAGAACACCGAUGGCGAAGGCAGCCGGCCAAUCCGCAACUGACGCUCAUGCACGAAAGCGUGGGGAUCGAACAGGAUUAGAUACCCUGGUA